GCCAGCAGCCAUGUCACCUGCAAUUUACAAUUGCCAGCCCACUGAAGCUAAGCAGGUGUGAGCCUGGUUAGUACCUGGAUGGGAGACCUCCUGGGAAAAACUAAGGUUGCUGCUGGAA
rnacentral:rRNA from 1 species